rnacentral:lncRNA from 1 species
AAAAGAGUUGAUACUGUUCGAGCCUAUACUUUUGGAGUUCUUUACUUUGUUGAGGUGCGAUGUCCAACACUCUGAAGUUCUUUUCUCCUGCACAAUUUUCAAUUUUUAAUAGUUCAUAAGAUGGGUAAAGAUACGUCGCAAGUUGGAGUCAGCUACAUGAAUACUCACUAUCCAUGUCACUUCAAUUAAGCUCGUUCGCCCUCAACAUUAUAAAUUAUUAUCUUCUCUAGUAGUAUAAUUUUGGAACAUUUAGACAAAACUUGGUGCAUAAUCGUCUGUUUUAUAACAGGUUGACAUAGAGCUCCCAGAAGAUUUGCCACUGAAAGAAGCCCAUGCCAUUGGAGAGUCACUUCAGAUUAAGAUUGAAGAACUUCCAGAAGUUGAACGUGCUUUUGUCCAUCUUGAUUAUGAGUGUGAUCACAAACCAGAACACUCCAUUUUGAGUAGAAUUCCCAACAGCCCACCUUAAUAUUCUAGUCUCUCAACUCUGUGUUAUUUCUUGGGACUUCUACAAUGUAAAAUUAAGAGCCCAUUUUGCUAUAUGGAAGCAUCAUGAAUAGCGAGGCCUGACGUUUUGAUAUGUAUACAGAAAAGAAGGAAAAUAAUGGCUGGAGAAUGCCAUUUUCCCUUAUGAAUCACCUAAUUAGCUUCACAUUUCCUUAAGCUUUGAGUAAUCUGCUUGGUUUGGUUGGGUUGAGUAUGCAUGUAGCAUAUUCUAAGGAGUCAUUUGGCUCCAGACAAAGGUGAUUCAGUGAUUAUAUUCACGAUCCAAAAUCUUAUCAAGGUUAUGAUGACACCUAACACCGCUGGCUAGACGAACCAACAAUACAAUAAGCAAGAACAAGACUAAAUACACAACAAAGUCUAAUGAGAUAGCAUAAAUAAGUAAAAAUAAGCGUGGAAGUACAUCAAUUCAACCGCCGAAACCGGUGUUAUGAAGUCAUGAGAUACUACAAUGAUAUAUAUAUAUAUACACACUAUCCGAAGGAAUGAAAUAAUAAUAAAAGAUAGACAAUGGAAGGUGAUUUUAAGGCAUUGUGAUCGAUCAAAGUAGUCCUAUCUUGAAUCUCCCAAGUAGUUUCUAUACGGUCUCCCAGGUUCCACUAGUACCAGACUCAGAACAACAACAACAAUCCAGUAUAAUCCACUUAGUAGGGUCUGGGGAGGGUAGUGUGUCAGCAGACCUUACCCCUACCCUUGGGUAGAGAGGGUAGAGAGGCUGUUUCCAAAUUGACCCCCGGCAUCCUUCCCUCCAAGAACUUCCCACCUUGCUCUUGGGGAGACUCGAACUGCCCAUCAGAGCAACCCCUCUUGUCUAGUACCAGACCCAGAACCUGCACAUAAAAGUUGCAGCCAGUGUAGCGUGCGUACAAUAAUCAACGUGUGCUCUAUAAAUAUAAUUGAUUGACCCCAAUAAAGUAGUGAGAUAUUUUGUCAAAACAUACUCACUUUUAAUAACCUCUAUAGUCAGUAAAUAUACACAAUAGAAGAAACAAAGCGUAGAAGCAGAGUGUAAAGUAUGCAUAGUUAAAGUAUGAGUUAUAAAGCAUGCUUUCAUCAACCAUCAAGUCCAAUGCAUAUGCCAAUGCAUAUAAACUGCAUUUAGAAAUUAGUCAUUUGUAUGAAAUAAGCUUUUAUUCGCUGUUGGAGUUUUAAUUUGUUUACUGUUGUUGAUUCUACAGGUGUUCACAUUGAAUGCAAGCAAAAGUAAUUGUCUGAACUAUCUUCCUCCUUUUGAACCUGAACCCGAAAGAUUUUUUCACAAGUUAAGGAAGGAUGCAGAAGCAAGAGCAAGAACUACAGAGUUGACCAUCAUAGUCCAACCACAACCAACAAAGAUGGCAAAAAACGACGAGAGACCGGUGAUAGAGGUUGCAAGGCCAAAUCUCGCAAACAUGACUCAGGCUAUCAUGAAAUCUGACAUACUGGCCACUUUGAGUUGAAAUAAUAAAUGGUGAAGCUAAUCUAAUCCACGGGAUAAUUUGUGUGUCAAUCUCAUGAAGAUCUAUAGAGACACAUUCAUAAUAUUUUUGGAGAAUACGUAUACGUACAACUAUCCGUACAUCUCCAAAGAUUAUGUCAGACUGACCUUGAUCCCAUUUUAUCUGUUGGGGGAAGAAAAGGAAUGGUUGCAAAAAGAUCCCGCAAACUCAAUCCGCACGUGGGAUGAUCUAGCGCAGAAAUUUCUGAUCAAAAUUUUCCCUACAAAGAAAACAAAGUUACCGAGAAGCCAAAUUCUGGAUUUUCAACAAAAAAAAAAUGGCGAGACUCUUCAUCAAUCUUGGGAAAGAUACAAGAAGCUACUUAGAGAUUGAGCAUCACUAUCAGAUUGAUGAACUGUUGGGUCAUACUUUUGUGGAUGUGUUGGACGAGACUUCCAAAUUGAAUUUAGACUCAACUUGUGAAGGUUGUUGCAUGCAAAAACUAUACAGUGAAAUUCAGACUCUAUUAAAAAACUUCACCGCAAAUUAUCAUAACUGGCAAGGUAAGGGUGAAUCAAGGAGAAUAAUAAAAGAAUGAGCAGCAGGUACACUCGAGCUGGAUGAGCUUUCAGCAAUAGGGACAAAUAUUGCUAAAUUGACAAAUCAGGUGAUGAAAAUGACAAUGGGAUUGGCACAUUAGAUGCAACAUAUUCAACAAAUGAUCACGGUUCGUGAAAUUUCUGGAGAAGAUCAUACGAGUGACCCUAAGGAAACUACAAUCAACCCAAAAGCCACCACAACAUGUAGAGGAGAUCACCAAAUGAUUUGUUGAAAAAAGCUGUUACUUGAUAACCAACAACUUAGGACUAAUUUUUGAAAUUUGAAAAGAUAGGUUAGGUAGUUGGAAGCAUACCAAAAUACCCGACCUGUGGGCGCCCUACCAAGUGAUACAGAAAAGAUUCGUUAAGUGAAUGCUGUAACUUUGAGGAAUGAUAGAGAAUCGGAAGAAGUACCAAAAUAAAAGAAGGAAAAAGUCAAUUUCUAAACUUAAGGUAGAAGUUAAGAAAGAAAAUAACGAAAGAGAGAAGAUACCAGUUGUAAGGCCUCGAUCCCCUUCUCAAACAAAUUGAAGAAGAAGAGUGACGAUAAAAAUUUCAACAAUUUCUUGACAUGGUGAGCCAAGUUCAAUUGAAUCUUCCCUUGGUUAAUGUGUUACAUGAAAUCCCCAAAUAUGCUAAGUAUAUCAUGGACAUUGUAGCUAAUAAAAGAAGAUUAACUGAGUUUGAAAUAGUAACACUUACUGAAGAGUGCACUUCAAGAAUUCAAUAGAAGUUGCCCCAAACAUUGAAGGAUCCUAGGAGCUUCACCAUUGCUAUUUGAAAUAGUGAAGUAGAUAUGGGACAAGCAUUAUAUGAUUUUAGGGCAAGCAUAAAUUUGAUGCCUUUAUCGCUCUUGAGUCAGUUGGGGACCCCAAGACCAACCACAAUCAUGUUGCAACUUGCUGAUAGAUCCAUUGACCAUCUCGAAGGGGUGAUAGAAGACCUGUUACUAAAGAUUGGGAAAUUUAUUGUCCCGACGAAUUUUAUCAUAUUCGACUACAAAGCUGAUGAACAUGUCCUAAUCAUCUUGGGACGACCUCUCUUGACCAUCGUCGAUGCAGUCAUAAAAGUUCAUGAAGUAAAAAGGAAUCUUAAAAUUUACAAUGUGGAAGUAGUUUUUAAUGUGAACAUGCAACUCAACCUCCAACUCACUAUAAAGACCUCAUGUUGAUUUCUGUGGUUGAGAAGGAAAAGGGGAAAAGUGAUAUAUGUGCAUAUCUGGAUGACCAUUUUUGAUUUUGGCUCGCUUGAAUUAUUCCUAUAAAACUCUUAAAAUUAGAAUUUUUUUUAUUAUUUAAAUUUUAGGGAAUUAAUUGCAUGAUUUUUGUUUGUUCGUACUUUUGUGUACAUUUUUAGUUAGCAUCAUUCUUAUAACUUGAAUAAAUAUUCCGCACC